rnacentral:rRNA from 1 species
GACGAACGCUGGCGGCGUGCUUAACACAUGCAAGUCGAACGGAAAGGCCCUGCUUUUGCGUGGUUCUCGAGUGGCGAACGGGUGAGAAACACGGGAGUAUCCUGCCCUUGAGGGUGGGAUAACCUCAGGAGACUGGGGCUAAUACAGGAUAGGAGCUCCUGCUGCAUGGUGGGGGUUGGAAAGUAUGGUCUGUUGGGGAUGGACUUGCGGCUUAUCAGCUUGUGGGGGGGGUGGUGGCUUAGCAACGCAUUGACGGGUAGCCCACCAGAGAGGGUGGACGGCCACCUUGCGACUGCGAUACGGCGCAGACUCCAACGGGAGGCAGCAGUGGAGAAUAUUACACAGUGAGCGGGCGCCUGAUGCGACGACGCCGCGUGCGGGAUGCCGGCCUUCGGGUUGUAAACCGCAUUCGCCUGUGACGAAGCGUGAGUGACGGUACUGAGUAAAGAAGCACCGGCUAACUACGUG